GGGGGCGCACUGGUUUCGACCUGUUGGAUGCGCCGGUGGCGGCAUGCCGAGGAUGAUCCGUUGGCCUCGUUAAUCAUCGGAUCGAACCAAAACAGCCAACGAAGAAUUGGCACUCGCGGCCUAAUGCCGUGACGUUCACCGCCUGACACCUGCUAGGGUGGCUGAACGAAGGCAGCAGGUUGGGUCGGGUGUGGGGUUUGCUGCGCAGCCGGCCGAGAUAAAAACAGCGAAAUAGACUUGGCGGCUCGAGUCGGAUCGGUACCGCCGGUCGAAUACUCUUAUCCGACUAAGCAUGUAGUCGCAGCCGGUUAUUCUGUCAGGGACGCGGGUUCGAUUCCCGCCGCCUCCACCA
rnacentral:tmRNA from 1 species